rnacentral:misc_RNA from 1 species
UUUCCGUAGGUGAACCUGCGGAAGGAUCAUUAAAGAGUAAGGGUCUUCGGGCCCGAUCUCCAACCCUUUGUUUAACUACCAUGUUGCUUUGGCGGGCCCGUCUCACGACCGCCGGAAGUUUGGCUUCGACCAAACUUCUGGCCCGUGCCCGUCAGUGGCCCCUUCAAAUUCUUGAUCAAGUAUGAUGUCCUAGUUAAAAACUUAAUAGUUAAAACUUUCAACAACGGAUCUCUUGGUUCUG